rnacentral:rRNA from 1 species
GGGUUCGAUUCCGGAGAGGGAGCCUGAGAAACGGCUACCACANNNAAGGAAGGCAGCAGGCGCGCAAAUUACCCAAUCCCGACACGGGGAGGUAGUGACAAUAAAUAACAAUACGGGGCUCUUUCGGGUCUCGUAAUUGGAAUGAGUACAAUUUAAAUCCCUUAACGAGGAACAAUUGGAGGGCAAGUCUGGUGCCAGCAGCCGCGGUAAUUCCAGCUCCAAUAGCGUAUAUUAAAGUUGUUGCAGUUAAAAAGCUCGUAGUUGAAUUUCGGGAUUGACACAUCGGUCGUGCCUUAAGGGGUAUGAACUGGUGUAGUCAAUUUCUCACCUUCUGGAGAACCGCGAUGCCCUUAAUUGGGUGUCGCGGGGAACCAGGACCUUUACUUUGAAAAAAUUAGAGUGUUUAAAGCAGGCAUUUUGCUUGAAUACAUUAGCAUGGAAUAAUAAAAUAGGACGGCAUGAUUCUAUUUUGUUGGUUUCUAGGAUCACCGUAAUGAUUAAUAGGGAUAGUUGGGGGCAUUAGUAUUCAAUUGUCAGAGGUGAAAUUCUUGGAUUUAUUGAAGACUAACUACUGCGAAAGCAUUUGCCAAGGAUGUUUUCAUUAAUCAAGAACGAAAGUUAGGGGAUCGAAGACGAUCAGAUACCGUCGUAGUCUUAACCAUAAACUAUGCCGACUAGAAAUCAGACGAUGUUAAUUUUUUAAUGACUCGUUUGGCACCUUAC